rnacentral:rRNA from 1 species
AUUGAACGCUGGCGGCAGGCCUAACACAUGCAAGUCGAGCGAGCGGCGGACGGGUGAGUAAUGCCUGGGAAUUGCCCAGUCGAGGGGGCUAACAGUUGGAAACGACUGCUAAUACCGCAUACGAUCGGAUUGCCUAGGUGGGAUUAGCUAGUUGGUGAGGUAAUUACUCACCAAGGCGACGAUCCCUAGCUGGUCUGAGAGGAUGAGCAGCCACACUGGAGCUGAGACACGGUCAAGAAGCCAACGGGAGGCAGCAGUGGGGAAUAUUGCACAAUGGGAGGAACCCUGAUGCAGACAUGCCGCGUGUGUGAAGAAGGCCUUCGGGUUGGAAAGCACUUGCAGCGAGGAGGCGAUACGCGCAGAGGAAGCACCGGCUAACUCCGUGCCAGCGGCCGCGGGAAA